rnacentral:rRNA from 1 species
GUGGGGAAUUUUGGACAAUGGGCGCAAGCCUGAUCCAGCAAUGCCGCGUGUGUGAAGAAGGCCUUCGGGUUGUAAAGCACUUUUGGCAGGAAAGAAAUAGUGCGUGCUAAUACCAUGCGCGAAUGACGGUACCUGCAGAAUAAGCACCGGCUAACUACGUGCCAGCAGCCGCGGUAAGACGUAGGGUGCAAGCGUUAAUCGGAAUUACUGGGCGUAAAGCGUGCGCAGGCGGUUUUGUAAGACAGGUGUGAAAUCCCCGGGCUCAACCUGGGAACUGCACUUGUGACUGCAAGGCUAGAGUGUGUCAGAGGGAGGUGGAAUUCCGCGUGUAGCAGUGAAAUGCGUAGAGAUGCGGAGGAACACCGAUGGCGAAGGCAGCCUCCUGGGCCUGCACUGACGCUCAUGCACGAAAGCGUGGGGAGCAAACAGGAUUAGAAACCCUUGUAGUCC